rnacentral:miRNA from 1 species
UGAGCGCCUCGAGGGCAGAGCCC